rnacentral:rRNA from 1 species
AUUGAACGCUGGCGGCAGGCCUAACACAUGCAAGUCGAGCGGAUGAAGGGAGCUUGCUCCUGGAUUCAGCGGCGGACGGGUGAGUAAUGCCUAGGAAUCUGCCUGGUAGUGGGGGAUAACGUCCGGAAACGGGCGCUAAUACCGCAUACGUCCUGAGGGAGAAAGUGGGGGAUCUUCGGACCUCACGCUAUCAGAUGAGCCUAGGUCGGAUUAGCAAGUUGGUGGGGUAAAGGCCUACCAAGGCGACGAUCCGUAACUGGUCUGAGAGGAUGAUCAGUCACACUGGAACUGAGACACGGUCCAGACUCCUACGGGAGGAAGCAGUGGGGAAUAUUGGACAAUGGGCGAAAGCCUGAUCCAGCCAUGCCGCGUGUGUGAAGAAGGUCUUCGGAUUGUAAAGCACUUUAAGUUGGGAGGAAGGGCAGUAAGUUAAUACCUUGCUGUUUUGACGUUACCAACAGAAUAAGCACCGGCUAACUUCGUG